ensembl:lncRNA
UAUUGUGUGUCUAUUUUAAAAACAGAAAAGUAACUUUUUUUCUCUUUUUUUCUAAUUAGGCUUGGACUCUUGGAUCAUCUGGUGACUUCAGAAUUCUGGUCUCAGGGUGGUGAACUUUUUCUUUGAAUUCCUAACCUGUGAGCCUGUGCUGGAUACAUUCACUAAUAUACUGGAGUGGAUCAACUUGAUUCAUAAGAGACAACUGUUGUGUGAAGAAUUUUGAAGGCUGCAUAUUAGUUUGAAAAGGUGCCAUGGUAGAAACAUUUACAUCACAUAUAUUGGCAAACAUUUGAAAACCGGGCUUUAACUUUUUUCUUGGAAAGCUAG